rnacentral:rRNA from 1 species
GACGAACGCUGGCGGCGUGCUUAACACAUGCAAGUCGUACGGUAAGGCCCUUUCGGGGGUACACGAGUGGCGAACGGGUGAGUAACACGUGAGUAACCUGCCCACAACUUUGGGAUAACGCUAGGAAACUGGUGCUAAUACUGGAUAUGUGCUCCUGCUGCAUGGUGGGGGUUGGAAAGCUCCGGCGGUUGUGGAUGGACUCGCGGCCUAUCAGCUUGUUGGUGGGGUAGUGGCCUACCAAGGCGGCGACGGGUAGCCGGCCUGAGAGGGUGACCGGCCACAUUGGGACUGAGAUACGGCCCAGACUCCGACGGGAGGCAGAAGGGGGGAAUAUUGCACAAUGGGCGCAAGCCUGAUGCAGCAACGCCGCGUGCGGGAUGACGGCCUUCGGGUUGUAAACCGCUUUCAGCAGGGACGAAGCUUUUUGUGACGGUACCUGCAGAAGAAGCACCGGCUAACUACGUG